GCUGGGCAUAGUGGCGUGUGCCUGUAGUCCCAGCUGCUUGGGAGGCUGAGGCAGGAGAAUCGCUUGAACCCGGGAGGCGGAGGUUGCAGUGAGCCAAGAUUGCGCCACUGCACUCCAGCCUGGGCAACAGAGUGAGACUCCGUCUCAA
rnacentral:SRP_RNA from 1 species